rnacentral:misc_RNA from 1 species
GAUGAAGAACGUAGUGAAAUGCGAUACGUAGUGUGAAUUGCAGAAUUCAGUGAAUCAGCGAAUCUUUGAACGCACAUUGCACCUCUCGGUAUUCCGGGAGGUAUGCCUGUUCGAGCGUCAUUUGUACCCUCAAGCUCUGCUUGGUGUUGGGUGUUUGUUCCGCCUCUGUGUGUGAACUCGCCUCAAAACAAUUGGCAGCCGGCGUACUUGUUUCGGAGCGCAGCACAUUUUGCGAUCCAGAUCAACGUACAGCGGCAUCCAAGAAGCCUUAUUUAACGCUCUUGACCUCGGAUCAGGUAGGGAUACCCGCUGAACUUAAGCAUAUCAAUAAGCGGAGGA